rnacentral:rRNA from 1 species
AUUGAACGCUGGCGGCAUGCCUUACACAUGCAAGUCGAACGGCAGCACGGGAGCAAUCCUGGUGGCGAGCGGCGAACGGGUGAGUAAUAUAUCGGAACGUGCCCAGUCGUGGGGGAUGACGCAGCGAAAGCUGUGCUAAUACCGCAUACGAUCUACGGAUGAAAGAGGGGGAUCGCAAGACCUCGCGCGAUUGGAGCGGCCGAUAUCAGAUUAGCUAGUUGGUGAGGUAAAGGCUCACCAAGGCGACGAUCUGUAGCUGGUCUGAGAGGACGACCAGCCACACUGGAACUGAGACACGGUCCAGACUCCUACGGGAGGCAGCAGUGGGGAAUUUUGGACAAUGGGCGCAAGCCUGAUCCAGCAAUGCCGCGUGCAGGAUGAAGGCCUUCGGGUUGUAAACUGCUUUUGUACGGAACGAAACGGUGAGCUCUAAUACAGUUUGCUAAUGACGGUACCGUAAGAAUAAGCACCGGCUAACUACGUGCCAGCAGCCGCCGCUGUAA